rnacentral:rRNA from 1 species
AGUGAACGCUGGCGGUAGGCCUAACACAUGCAAGUCGAACGGCAGCACAGUAAGAGCUUGCUCUUACGGGUGGCGAGUGGCGGACGGGUGAGGAAUACAUCGGAAUCUACUUUUUCGUGGGGGAUAACGUAGGGAAACUUACGCUAAUACCGCAUACGACCUACGGGUGAAAGCAGGGGAUCUUCGGACCUUGCGCGAUUGAAUGAGCCGAUGUCGGAUUAGCUAGUUGGCGGGGUAAAGGCCCACCAAGGCGACGAUCCGUAGCUGGUCUGAGAGGAUGAUCAGCCACACUGGAACUGAGACACGGUCCAGACUCCUACGGGAGGCAGCAGUGGGGAAUAUUGGACAAUGGGCGCAAGCCUGAUCCAGCCAUACCGCGUGGGUGAAGAAGGCCUUCGGGUUGUAAAGCCCUUUUGUUGGGAAAGAAAAGCAGCAGGUUAAUACCCCGCUGUUCUGACGGGACCCAAAGAAUAAGCACCGGCGAACUGCAU